rnacentral:pre_miRNA from 1 species
GUUUGGUUGUGAGUGGAUUGUGUUCAGCACCAAGGACAGGCAUGUUUGAAUGUAUAUCGGUGGUGUUCAGCACCAAGGACAGGUAUACUUGUGU